rnacentral:rRNA from 1 species
GCCAUGCAUGUCUCAGUGCAUGCCAAAUUAAGGUGAAACCGCGAAUGGCUCAUUAAAUCAGUUAUGGUUCCUUAGAUCGUACCCACAUUUACUUGGAUAACUGUGGUAAUUCUAGAGCUAAUACAUGCAAACUUGAGUUCUGACCAGAGAUGGAAGGAACGCUUUUAUUAGAUCAAAACCAAUCGGUGGCGGGUUCUGCUCGUCCACCGUUUACCUUGGUGACUCUGAAUAACUUUGUGCUGAUCGCACGGUCUUGUACCGGCGACGCAUCUUUCAAAUGUCUGCCUUAUCAACUGUCGAUGGUAGGUUCUGCGCCUACCAUGGUUGUAACGGGUAACGGGGAAUCAGGGUUCGAUUCCGGAGAGGGAGCCUGAGAAACGGCUACCACAUCCAAGGAAGGCAGCAGGCGCGCAAAUUACCCACUCCCGGCACGGGGAGGUAGUGACGAAAAAUAACGAUACGGGACUCAUCCGAGGCCCCGUAAUCGGAAUGAGUACACUUUAAAUCCUUUAACGAGGAUCAAUUGGAGGGCAAGUCUGGUGCCAGCAGCCGCGGUAAUUCCAGCUCCAAUAGCGUAUAUUAAAGUUGUUGCGGUUAAAAAGCUCGUAGUUGAAUCUGUGUCGCACGCUGUUGGUUCGCCGCUCGCGGUGUUUAACUGACAUGCUCGUGAGACGUCCUACCGGUGGGCUUAGCUCUUCGGGGCGGUCCAACUUAAUAUCCCAUCGCGGUGCUCUUAAUUGAGUGUCGAGGUGGGCCGGUACGUUUACUUUGAACAAAUUAGAGUGCUUAAAGCAGGCUAUUUUCGCCUGAAUAUUCUGUGCAUGGAAUAAUGGAAUAGGACCUCGGUUCUAUUUUGUUGGUUUUCGGAAAUCCGAGGUAAUGAUUAAUAGGGACAGA